UAGGGAAUCUUCGGCAAUGGGGGGAACCCUGACCGAGCAACGCCGCGUGAGUGAAGAAGGUUUUCGGAUCGUAAAGCUCUGUUGUUAAGGAAGAACGAGUGUGAGAAUGGAAAGUUCAUACUGUGACGGUACUUAACCAGAAAGGGACGGCUAACUACGUGCCAACAGCCGCGGUAAUACGUAGGUCCCGAGCGUUGUCCGGAUUUAUUGGGCGUAAAGCGAGCGCAGGCGGUUAGAUAAGUCUGAAGUUAAAGGCAGUGGCUCAACCAUUGUAGGCUUUGGAAACUGUUUAACUUGAGUGCAGAAGGGGAGAGUGGAAUUCCAUGUGUAGCGGUGAAAUGCGUAGAUAUAUGGAGGAACACCGGUGGCGAAAGCGGCUCUCUGGUCUGUAACUGACGCUGAGGCUCGAAAGCGUGGGGAGCGAACAGG
rnacentral:rRNA from 1 species